rnacentral:misc_RNA from 1 species
CGAUUUUCCGCAGAUGAUAUGAACACGGUGAACGGGAUGCUGGAGACCGCCGUUGGUGUGGGCAUGUGCGUGGGGCCAGCCGUCGGCGUUUGGCUCUACUCGCUUGGGGGUUUCUGCCUCCCCUUCUAUGGCCUAGGCAGCUUCAUCCUCCUGACUGUGCCCGUCAAUAUGCUGACCUUCCCAAAGCGUGUUGAGGUCUUGCCGGAGAUAAGACAAUUUACCGACGCAGAGCCGGCGCCAGUGAGUAGGGCCUUGGGACUAACUUCGAUCUUGAGGCGCCCAGGGGCAGUGCUGCCGCUGGCCAUCUUGAGCGUGACAGCAGUGUGUCUGGCUGUGCUCUACCCUACGCUGCAGCCGCAUAUGUAUGGUCUGGGGGUGUCAGUGGAGGGCGUCGGCCUGGUGUUCCUGCUCAUGUCCGCCGUGUACGCCGUGUCCUCCCCGUUGGUGGGACUGGCCACAGACCGCUACAAAUGCCCCUUGAGCUUCAUGUUGGCGGGCCUGCUGCUUCUGGCGUUGGCUCUCAUUCUGAUUGGCAAUUCUCCUUUGCUGCCGAACGUGACCCAUGAUAUGCUGUAUAAGCAAGAUGUUGUAGCCGUUGUGGUGAUUGGCCUCGCCUCUGCCAUGUCCACUGUGCCCACCUUUGCCUCCAUUCUUUACACCCUCGGCGAGGAGGGAAGAGUGGACGUCACCACAUUCUCACUGGUGGGCGGCAUGUGGUCUGCCGCAUACUCUCUUGGGUGAGCUGAUAAUACCUGGACAGUACAAAUUUGUCUCUAGGACUGUAUAUAUAAUGUGACACAGGAAAUGUUAGGACCUUUUUAUGCUGGUAUGAUGGCCGAGUACGUCAACUUCGCCACCUCAACCACCGUGACUGCUCUUCUGCCAGCAAGUUUAGCCGUGGUGCAGGCUGUUUACAUGUGCAUGGAAUGCUGCCGCUCCCG